AGGCAGCAGUGGGGAAUUUUCCGCAAUGGGCGAAAGCCUGACGGAGCGACGCUGCGUGAAGGAUGACGGCCUGAGGGUUGUAAACUUCUUUUCUCGAAGAAGAAUCAAUGACGGUAUUCGAGGAAUAAGCAUCGGCUAACUCUGUGCCAGCAGCCGCGGUAAGACAGAGGAUGCAAGUGUUAUUCGGAUUGAUUGGGCGUAAAGCGUCUGUAGGCGGUUUAGAAAGUCUUUUGUGAAAUACUUCAGCUCAACUGGAGCUCCGCAAAAGAAACUUCUAGACUUGAGGGAAGUAGAGGUACAGGGAAUUUCCGGUGGAGCGGUGAAAUGCGUAGAUAUCGGAAGGAACACCAAUAUGGCGAAGGCACUGUACUGGGCUUUGCCUGACGCUAAGAGACGAAAGCUAAAGGAGUGAUUAGGAUUAGAUACCCUAGUAAUUUUAGCCGUAAACGAUGGAAACUCACUGCCGAGCCGGUAUUCGGAGCGGUGGUCAAGCUAACGCGUGAAGUUUCCCGCCUGGGGAUUACGCAUGCAAAUGUGAAACUCAAAGGAAUUGACGGGGACCCGCACAAGCGGUGGAGUAUGUGGUUUAAUUCGAUGCAACGCGAAAAACCUUACCAAGGUUUGAAAUCAUUCUAAAACUCUUUGAAAGAAGAGCCUCCUUCGGGAUAGAAUGACAGGUGGUGCAUGGCUGUCGUCAGCUCGUGUUGUGAAAUGUCAAGUUAAGUCUUGUAACGAGCGCAACCCAUGUCUUUUGUUGCUGUUUACAGUGCUUAAAAGAGACUGCCGCUCUACAGCGGAGGAAGGUGUGGAUGAUGUCAAGUCAGCAUGCCCCUUAUAUCUUGGGCUACACACGUACUACAAUGGUAGGGACAAUGAGUCGCAAACCUGCGAAGGCUAGCCAAUCUCAAAAACCCUAUCUCAGUUCGGAUUGUACUCUGCAACUCGAGUGCAUGAAGGUGGAAUCGCUAGUAAUCGCUGGUCAGCAUACAGCGGUGAAUACGUUCCCGGGUCUUGUACACACUGCCCGUCACACCAUGGAAGUCGAUCCUUCCCUAAGUCGUUACUCGAACCUUUUAGGACGAGGAUGCCGAAGGCAGGGUUGGUGACUAGGGUGAAGUCGUAACAAGGUAGCCGUACUGGAAGGUGUGGCUG
rnacentral:rRNA from 1 species